rnacentral:rRNA from 1 species
UACGUAGGGGGCAAGCGUUGUCCGGAAUUAUUGGGCGUAAAGCGCGUGUAGGCGGCCAGAUAAGUCCGCUGUGAAAUCUCGAGGCUCAACUUCGAGCUGUCGGUGGAAACUGUCUGGCUAGAGUCCGGAAGAGGAGAAUGGAAUUCCGAGUGUAGAGGUGAAAUUCGUAGAUAUUCGGAGGAACACCAGUGGCGAAGGCGGCUCACUGGUCCGGUACUGACGCUGAGGUGCGAAAGCGUGGGGAGCAAACAGG